rnacentral:rRNA from 1 species
UACAGAGGGGGCAAGCGUUGCUCGGAAUUACUGGGCGUAAAGGGCGCGUAGGCGGCCUGCUAAGUCGGACGUGAAAUCCCUGGGCUCAACCCAGGAACUGCGUCCGAUACUGGUUGGCUUGAAUCCGGGAGAGGGAGGUGGAAUUCCAGGUGUAGCGGUGAAAUGCGUAGAUAUCUGGAGGAACACCGGUGGCGAAGGCGACAUCCUGGACCGGUAUUGACGCUGAGACGCGAAAGCCAGGGGAGCAAACGGG